AGAGUUUGAUCCUGGCUCAGGAUGAACGCUGGCGGCGUGCCUAACACAUGCAAGUCGAGCGAGAUUUAGUGUAGUGGAGACUUCGGUCAAAGUGAAACUGAUGAAAGCGGCGGACGGGUGAGUAACGCGUGGGCAACCUGCCCCAUACAAAGGGAUAGCCACUGGAAACGGUGAUUAAUACCUUAUAAGUCGGUAGUCUCGCAUGAGACAGCCGACAAAGAUUUAUCGGUAUGGGAUGGGCCCGCGUUUGAUUAGCUAGUUGGUGAGGUAACGGCUCACCAAGGCGACGAUCAAUAGCCGACCUGAGAGGGUGAUCGGCCACACUGGAACUGAGACACGGUCCAGACUCCUACGGGAGGCAGCAGUGGGGAAUAUUGGACAAUGGGGGCAACCCUGAUCCAGCAAUGCCGCGUGUGCGAUGAAGGCCUGAGGGUUGUAAAGCACUUUCGGUAGGGAAGAAAUGCUCAAAGAUAAUACAUUUGAGAGUUGACGUUACCUACAGAAGAAGCACCGGCAAACUCUGUGCCAGCAGCCGCGGUAAUACAGAGGGUGCAAGCGUUAAUCGGAGUUACUGGGCGUAAAGGGCGCGUAGGCUGGUAUUUAAGUCGAUUGUGAAAUCCCUGGGCUUAACCUAGGAAUUGCAGUCGAUACUGAUUACCUUGAGUAUGGUAGAGGAAAGUGGAAUUCUCGGUGUAGUGGUUAAAUACGUAGAUAUCGAGAAGAACACCGGUGGCGAAGGCGACUUUCUGGACCAAUACUGACGCUGAGGCGCGAAAGCGUGGGGAGCAAACAGGAUUAGAUACCCUGGUAGUCC
rnacentral:rRNA from 1 species